UACGUAGGGACCAAGCGUUGUUCGGAUUUACUGGGCGUAAAGGGCGCGUAGGCGGCAAUUCAAGUCAUCUGUGAAAUCUCCGGGCUUAACUCAGAACGGCCAAGUGAUACUGCAGUGCUAGAGUGUGGAAGGGGCAAUCGGAAUUCUUGGUGUAGCGGUGAAAUGCGUAGAUAUCAAAGAGGAACACCUGAGGUGAAGACGGGUUGCUGGGCCAACACUGACGCUGAUGCGCGAAAGCCAGGGGAGCAAACGGG
rnacentral:rRNA from 1 species